CAAGUCGAACGAGAAAGGGUAGCAAUACCUGAGUAAAGUGGCGCACGGGUGAGUAACACGUGACUAACCUACCCUGGAGUGGGGGAUAACUGAGGGAAACCUUAGCUAAUACCGCAUAACACCUACGGGUCAAAGGAGCAAUUCGCUUCAGGAGGGGGUCGCGGCCGAUUAGUUAGUUGGCGGGGUAAUGGCCCACCAAGACAGUGAUCGGUAUCCGGCCUGAGAGGGCGCACGGACACACUGGAACUGAAACACGGUCCAGACUCCUACGGGAGGCAGCAGUGGGGAAUUUUGCGCAAUGGGGGAAACCCUGACGCAGCAACGCCGCGUGGAGGAUGAAGUCCUUCGGGACGUAAACUCCUUUCGAUCGGGACGAUUAUGACGGUACCGGAAGAAGAAGCCCCGGCUAACUUCGUGCCAGCAGCCGCGGUAAUACGAGGGGGGCGAGCGUUGUUCGGAAUUAUUGGGCGUAAAGGGUGCGUAGGCGGUUUGGUAAGUCUUAUGUGAAAUCUAUGGGCUCAACUCAUAGACUGCAUGAGAAACUGCCGGGCUUGAGUAUGGGAGAGGUGAGUGGAAUUCCUGGUGUAGCGGUGAAAUGCGUAGAUAUCAGGAGGAACACCUGUGGCGAAAGCGGCUCACUGGACCAUAACUGACGCUGAUGCACGAAAGCUAGGGGAGCAAACAGGAUUAGAUACCCUGGUAGUCCUAGCCCUAAACGAUGACUGCUUGGUGUGACGGGUACCCAAUCCCGCCGUGCCGUAGCUAACGCGCUAAGCAGUCCGCCUGGGGAGUACGGUCGCAAGGCUGAAACUCAAAGGAAUUGACGGGGGCCCGCACAAGCGGUGGAGCAUGUGGUUUAUU
rnacentral:rRNA from 1 species